GAAAAAAAUGAUAUAAAACAUGGCUUGUCCAUAUGCUAAUUCAUCAUUACGUAUCAAAACGCCAUACGCUCAGAAAUUUAUUUCUCCAAUAAGCAUAUAUAUGCUUUUCAGCAAAAUAUUUCCCCCCAAAAAUGCAAAUUUGAUAAGAUAAGACACAUGUAUUAUCUUCCCAUCGACUAGAGGAUACUCUGUUCUCGAUUUGUAUACACCCGAAUGAAUGGUUAUACCCGGUGAAAUUUCGCAUGACCCAAACGUUUGAUCACCACUGAUUGUCAGCUGUUUACAAGUAUGGGAAACGUGCACGUUUUAGAUGAAGUGUGGAUUUGGUUAUAGGAAUUUCUUUUACCGCUUUUGGCCAUUUACCAUCUUAACUUGUUUUGUUAUGUAUAGCACUGGAUAACACAUGCAAGUUGGAUAAAAACGAUAUUGAAGAGGAUCCAACCAGCUAUUCUCAAGAAAAUGCUGUUUUAGUUUUUCUUUUGUCUAUUUUUGUAAAUUUAAAUAAAAAUUAUGUUGAUUUUA